rnacentral:rRNA from 1 species
UACGGAGGGGGCUAGCGUUGUUCGGAAUUACUGGGCGUAAAGCGUGCGCAGGCUGUUUUGCAAGUCAGGGGUGAAAUCCCAGGGCUCAACCCUGGAAUUGCCUUUGAGACUGCGAGACUAGGGGGAGGGAGAGGUGAGUGGAAUUCCCAGUGUAGAGGUGAAAUUCGUAGAUAUUGGGAAGAACGCCCGUGGCGAAGGCGGAUCAAUGGCCCUCUACCGACGCUCAUGCACGACAGCGUGGGGAGCAAACAGG